rnacentral:rRNA from 1 species
GUCCACGCCGUAAACGAUGAGUGCUAGGUGCUGCGGGUAUUGACCCCUGCGGUGCCGUAGCUAACGCGUUAAGCACUCCGCCUGGGGAGUACGGCCGCAAGGCUAAAACUCAAAGGAAUUGACGGGGGCCCGCACAAGCGGUGGAGCAUGUGGUUCAAUUCGACGCAACGCGCAGAACCUUACCUGGGUUAAAUCCACUCGAACUUAGCAGAGAUGCUUUGGUGCUCUUCGGAGAGCGAGUGAGAAGGUGCUGCAUGGCUGUCGU